GAUGAAGAACGUAGCGAAAUGCGAUAAGUAAUGUGAAUUGCAGAAUUCAGUGAAUCAUCGAAUCUUUGAACGCACAUUGCGCCCAUUAGUAUUCUAGUGGGCAUGCCUGUUCGAGCGUCAUUAAGUCCACUUAAGCCCUGCUUAGUGUUGGGAGACUGCUCCAGCGGUGCUACCCUGUAGCUACCCUGCAGCUCCUCAAAGACAGCGGCGGAGUUGUGGUAUCCUCUGAGCUUAGUAACUUGUUCUAGCUUUCGAGUACACCACUUCCCCUGCCGUAAAACCCUUAAUUUUUAAUGGUUGACCUCGGAUCAGGUAGGAAUACCCGCUGAACUUAAGCAUAUCAAUAAGCGGGA
rnacentral:misc_RNA from 1 species